AGAGAUGCACAAGUGAUAGCUCUCUCUCCAAAGUCUCUAAUGGCGACGAACAGAUUCAUCUGCAGAAAUCAAGAAACAUUACAUGGCGAGAAGAAAUGGAAGUGCGAUAAAUGCUCCAGGAAAUACGCUGUCCAGUCUUAUUGGAAAGCCCACACCAAGAUUUGCAAAUGUCGACAGGUUUGUCUUAACAAACUAAGAACAUCUCCAACAUAAGUAUCAUUUGCAAUAAAACUGAUAGAACAAUACUGAUUGAUCAUUAUAUUUUAUACCAAAAAUAAUAUUUUUUUUUUUAGUAAAAACCAUGUAGUCUAAAAAUUUAUUGCUUUGUUGAAAAAUUUUCAAUUCAUUAAAAUUAAUAAAAAAACAAGAGUAACAUGUAAAAUAAAAAUAAAAAACUGAAAAUAUUUAAUAAUUUGAAAAUAUGGUAAGUUUUAAAAAAAUAAAUAACUGAAAAUAUUUAAUAAUUUGUAAAUAUGGUAAAUUAUAAAAAAAACAAUUAAUUAAUUAAUAGUGUGUCUUUUUUCCAAUGGUUACAAUAUGUAUAUAAAGAUAUCAUAGUCACACAUACAUGUAUGCAUACAAUUGCAAUUGCAAGAAAUGAAACUCAUCCACCGGCAAGACUAUUUCAAUCUUGGUGUCUUCGGAGAAAGCUUUUGGCCAUGUCAACAUUCUCAUCCGUCCUGCUUGCUUGUGUUCAAGAUGAAAUUUGAUUUUUGAGGGGGUGAAGGAUCGGAAGGUUCUAUAUCCAUGGCUUCCCUGAGUCUCUUCUCUUCUGCACAAGCAUGUCAGAGGUGGUUCAUUAGAUUCUGCUGCUAAAUAGAGGGAGGAAGCUGAUUCUUGCCGCCCGCCCAAGUUCGGUAUGAUUCGAUAAUUCGAUUGUGUUGUCUUGUUCAAUUUGUUUCUAUAAAUAGUGUUAUCGAUCUAUGAAUGGCAUUUGGAUGAAUUGAAUCAAAUCGAACGGGAUACAGUAGAAUGUUGAUAGAAUGAUUUUGUUAAUCGAUUGUUAUAUAUAGGGACAACCGAUAGAUAAUUCAAUUGUUGUUCGAUCCGAUACAAAGUUGACUAGUUUUAAUUAUUUUUAAAUAAAUCGUUAUGUAGAAGGUUUUUGUUGAUGCUGAUUGUUUGCGCUCACUAGUCUCAUUUCUCAGAUUUCUACACGAAAGGCGCAAACAACUUUCCGAAACAAUAAAUUUGAACGUGGCGGGCCAACACGUCGCUUUCCAUUUACAUUUAUGCAUUUAAUUUAUUUUUAGCACUAUGCAUAUAGAUUUAUUUUUACGUCCCGAGACUUACAUACAUUAAUUUUGUUUCUAUAUUUUAUACUAAUUUAUUUUUAAGUGUUUAA